UGUUCCGCUUACGGUAGUCUAGUGGGCAUGACAUCUGCCCGGUAAGCAGACACUGUGGGUUCGAUUCCCAUCUCCUGGACAA